CGAGAUCUAAAUCUAAAUAGUAGAAACCAAUGGAUGCACUUUCGCUCUUGUUAAUCUGUUGCAAGUUACUGCUUAUCUUUUCUGAAUUCUCAUUUGCAUCAGAUGUCCUUACUUCGUCUCAGUCUCUUAGUGAUGGAAACACCUUAAUAUCAAAAGGUGGAAGCUUUGAGCUUGGUUUCUUCAGUCCCGGUAGUUCCAAGAAUCGUUAUGUGGGAAUUUUGUACAAAAGUAUACCAGUUAAAACAGUUGUUUGGGUUGCAAACCGCCUCAAACCCAUCAAGGACUCUUCUGGCUUGUUAAUGAUAAACAGGACAGGCAAUCCUGUUUUAACAAGCCCGAGCAUGGGCAUAGUUUGGUCAGCGAGCUUGAGCAAAGAGGUGAGUUCUCCUCUGGUAUUACAGCUACUGGAUUCAGGAAAUCUUAUCCUCAGAGGUGAACAAGAUGGUGAUUCUGAAAAUUAUUUUUGGCAAAGCUUUGAUUAUCCUUCUGAUACAUUGCUACCAGGAAUGAAGGUCGGAUGGGAUUUAAAGACAGGUCUUGAGCGGCGCUUGACAUCAUGGAAGAGCUCAAAUGACCCGUCUCCUGGAGACCUUAUUUUGAAAAUUGAACGACAAGGAUAUCCCUAUCUAGUGAUGUGGAAGGGAUCAACAAAGUUCUAUAGGACCGGCCCAUGGAAUGGCGUUACAUUCAGUGCUUCAUCACUAAAGCCUAACUCAAUCUUUAACGUCAGCUUUGUAUUUAAUGAGGAUGAGCUCUACUACACAUUCAACCUCAUAGAUAAAGCUGUUUUCUCAAGGACUGUUGUGAACCAAACACUCUCUUUACGUCAACGAUUCGUGUGGAGUAAAGCAACUCAAAGUUGGGAGCUGUAUUCAAAUUUGCCAAGAGAUCAGUGUGACACCUACAAUCUCUGUGGUGCCUACGGCAUUUGCAGCAUUAGCAAAUCGCCUAUUUGCCAAUGUUUAAUAGGUUUCAAACCUAAAUCAGAGGGUUAUGUGGAACGGUCUCAAGGGUGCGUACGUACUAAGCCGUUAAACUACUCUCGACGUGAUGGUUUUGUCAAAUUUAAUGAUCUGAAAUUGCCAGAUUCUACUUCCUCUUGGGUUAGCAAAAGUAUGAAUCUCAAUGAAUGCCGGGAGAAAUGCUUAGACAACUCUUCUUGUAUGGCAUACACAAAUUCAGAUAUCAGAGGAGAAGGCAGUGGCUGUGCCAUGUGGUUUGGUGAUCUGAUUGACAUCAGAUACUUCCAAGAUGGUGGGCAGGACUUGUAUAUUCGAAUGUCUGCUUCAGAGCUAGGUAUCCGUAUACUUCUUUAUGUCAUUCCAUUAUGAGAACUUAGGAGUACCACUCCAGUUAGACUAGUUCCACAUUUUUAUUGUGCAAUUUAGUAUUGAGUUCUGAUUGAGAAGCUCCUUUCGCAUAAAGCAGUUUCUGGGUAUAGCUUCUAUGCAUGGAAUUUUCCUGCUAUUUGAAUCCUUUUUUCUUAGCUAUAUGAUUAUUGACUUGCUUUGCUAUAUCUGAAUACGCUGAUCAAGAAGCGAAAGGUGAGCCUACGACAAAGAUAGUGGUGAUAGUCAUUUCUAGUGCUGCUCUGCUAGCAGUGCUGCUUAUAGCUGGCUACUUGAUUCGCAAACGCAGGAGAAAUAUAGCAGGUAUAAUAGCACUCCAUUUUCCUUCACAAAUUUAUAGCCAUUUGCUUGCAUUUUUAUGAUAGCCGUUUCCUUUCAAUCAAUAUUUAUAUGAGUCCAAUUUUUCUGUAUCAAAUCUUCAAUAAAAUCUUUCACCAAGUAGAAUAAGUUUUUAUAUGCAGCAAUAACUGUACGUUUGUUUCAAGAUGAAGAGUUAACAUUGCAUAUCAUUUAGAUCAGGGGCAAGGUAAUUAAACUUGUAAAUUUUUGGUUGGAAUAGCAGUUUUACAUACUUGCAUUUAGUGUUAUAUUAAUACACGCUUCUUUUUCACCUAUGGUUCUCUAUUUACUUGCACUUUCAUAUUGACUGGAAAAUAGCUUUAAUACAAAUUUACAGAUAAAGAACCUUCUCAUCAGGAAGAUGAAAAUUGUAGUUACUAGUUAGUAGUUUGUCCAGUAUACGUACUGCAUAUGCGCUUUCAGCUAAUAUUGUCCAAUAUUUCAGAGAAAACAGAAAACGAUCAGAUUCAAAACAUAGACCUGGAGCUACCAUUGUUUGAGUUAGCUACAAUUGUUAGUGCCACCAAUAACUUUUCAAUCAACAAGAAGCUUGGACAAGGUGGCUUUGGACCCGUUUACAAGGUAAACUUGAAACUUGCUAGUCAAAAAUACUUAUUUUAAUUGGUAACUAAAUUCACAUAUAUGUCUUGCCAGGGCAAGCUAGUGGAUGGACAGGAAAUUGCUGUGAAGAGGCUUUCGAAGAUUUCUGAGCAAGGAUUGAAGGAGUUGAAGAAUGAGGUUAUACUGUUUUCCAAAUUACAGCACAGAAAUCUCGUAAAGCUUCUUGGCUGCUGCAUUCAAGGAGAGGAGAAAUUGUUGAUUUAUGAAUUCAUGCCGAACAAAAGCCUGGACUCUUUCAUUUUUGGUCUGGAUCCCUCUAAACCUUAAAAUAUUCGGCUAGCUUGUGCCUUGAUUAUAGACGUUUCUUAUGUAUUUUCAGAAAAUUUUGCACUAACCUUAGUGUGGUAAUUUGUAGAUCAAGAAAGAUGUAUGAUAUUGGAUUGGUCCAAGCGUUUCCACAUUAUUUGUGGGACUGCUAGGGGCCUUCUGUACCUUCAUCAAGAUUCUAGAUUGAGGAUUAUACAUCGAGACCUCAAAGCAAGUAAUGUGCUACUCGAUCAAGAUAUGAACCCAAAAAUUUCAGAUUUUGGUUUGGCUAGAGCUUUUGGUGGAGACGAGACAGAAGGAAACACAAACAGAGUGGUUGGAACAUAGUAAGUACUUUUUGUCAUGUGAUCUUUACAAUUCACUUGCCUUGAUUAAUGAAAAUUAAUUUAUAAUUUUGAUCCUCUGAAGUGGUUAUAUGGCACCGGAAUACGCUAGUGAUGGGCAAUUCUCAGUAAAAUCUGAUGUCUUCAGCUUUGGAAUUUUAUUGCUGGAGAUAGUAAGUGGAAAGAAAAAUAGAGGAUUUUAUCAUUCCGACAACAACCUUAACCUUAUAGGACAUGUAAGUAAAAUGCAUACGAUAUUUUCUUACAUAGUUUGGACUAAUAUAUUAUAGAUGAUAAAAGAGUUUUGAUAUGUUGUAGGCAUGGAAGUUGUGGAACGAAGGCAUGCCUUCACAAUUAAUCGAUUCGUGUUUUCAAGACUCAUUCAAUCUUGCUGAAGUGAUACGAUGCAUCCACAUCGGUUUGUUAUGCGUGCAACAGCAUCCAGAGGACAGGCCAAGCAUGCCCUCAGUGAUUUUGAUGUUGGGCAGCGAGACUGUGUUGCCUCAGCCAAAGCAACCCGGUUACUUGGCGGACAGGAAAUCUACCAGACGAGAUUAUUCAUCGAUCAUGCCUGAAUCAUGUUCAACUAAUACAAUUACGGUCUCUGGGUUGGAGGGUCGGUAGAGAAUCUAUUUGUGGUAUCAUGCCUCAGUCUACAUUAUCAAGUGUAAAAGCAGUAAUAUGUCAACCAAAUGGAAAGUUAAGAUAAAUGAUUGGAUAAAAAAUGAUGAGGAUCAUCCAAUGAAUGCAUGUUGUGGAUCUAAAAGUUCACAGGAUAGGCCAAUUUUGCAGCUGACUACUUAGCUAAAAAUGCGGAUUUCAUGUUUAUCAAGAACCUCCUGUAGGUCUUGAUCCUUGGCUUUGUUAUGAUAUGUAUGGGACAAUGAUUCCUGUGUCGUAACUUGACUAAGCCUUUUUUUAGUUAAAAAAAAAAAAAAUAGAAUGUAGACUAAUGUUCAUAUAGAAAUUGUAAAUUAGAGGUACUAUGAGCAGUGUUGAGAAUGUGAUUAUAGCUCAAGAAAUUAUUCGUUCGAUGAGGAAGAAGACAGGCAAGAUAGGGCAUAUGGUGAUUGAGGUGGAUUUGGAAAAAGCUUACGACAGGCUCCGCUGGGACUUCAUCCAUGAAACUCUUUCGAAGGUGGGCUUACCUGCACAAUUUAUUCGUCUUAUAAUGGAUUGCAUCACCUCCCCCACAAUGCAAUUAUUAUGGAAUGGAGAGUUAACCGACUCUUUCACUCCUUCGAGAGGGAUUCGUCAAGGGGACCCCUUAUCACCCUAUAUUUUUGUGUUAUGUGUAGAACGCCUGAGUCAUGGGAUUAAUAGUGAAGUCAAAAAAGGGCGUUGGUGGCCUGUUCGUUUGAAUGGAAAUGGAGUCCUCUUCACUCAUUUGUUCUUUACGGAUGAUCUCAUACUACUUUCACCAAGCCCAAGUUAUUUAUGAGGUGCUUGAUUUUUUCUGUCUCGCAUCUGGUGAAAAAGUCAGCAAAGAAAAAACCAAUAUUUAUUUCUCUUAAAAUGUUAGAGUUGAUGAUAGGCGUGAGAUUGUUUCUGAGCUUGGUUUUUAUGUGACUGAUAACCUAGGCAAUUAUGUUGGUGUUCCCCUUUUACAUAAUAGAGUUAACAAACACACCUAAAAGGGUGUCCUUGAUAAAGUCCAACAGCGCCUCACUGGAUGGAAUACCCUUCAUCUUUUUUUGGUUGGCAGAGUCACACUUGUGCAGUCAGUUAUUCAAUCCAUUCUGAUUUACACAAUGCAGACUUCAAGCUCCAUACUUUAUGACCAAAUCGAUCAGUGUUGUCGUCAUUUUAUUUGGAGCGGAAAUGCUGAGAUGAAGAAGAUGAGUAUGGUUAAAUGGGCCACUGUGUGCAAGCCUAGGACUUGGGGAGGCUUGGGUCUUAAAAGAAUUGAUGAUAUGAACAAGGCUUUGCUCAUUAAAAUCGGUUGGAGCCUAAUCACCUCAUCAGACAGCAUGUGGGUCAAGGUUUUACGGUCGAAAUAUGGCAUUGAAGAUCAGGUAGUGCCACAAUCUUUGAAUACCAAGUUUGGUUCCUAUAUAUGGAAAGCUAUUGGAAUUAUUUGGAAUAAAGUUUUUCAGGGGAUAAGAUAGAACCUUGGGGACGGUAGAAAAGUUAACUUUUGGUGGGACUGCGGGGCUCUUGAGGACAAGCCUUCGAUUUUUUAUGUUCAGCAACCCCUUUCGGUGGAGUUAAUCAAUAGCACGGUUUCAGAGUGUGUUAAUGGCGAUGGUUCUUGGAACUGGGGACUUUUUGCUAAUUUGCUCCCAAAUAAUGUGAUCCUUCGUAUUGCAGCUAUUAAACCCCCUCUAAAUAGUGGUGGCAGGGAUGAGAUUAGAUGGGCACAUUCUAAAACAGGGCUUUUCAUAGUCAAAUCAGCUUAUCUUUCUUUAAUUCAACAAUAAUCCGCUCUUGAUGAUCCUGGUUGGAAGAUUAUUUGGAAGUGGCAAGGUCAACAAAGAAUUAAAAUGUUUUUGUGGCUUGCUAUCCAAAAUAAGCUAAAGACUAAAGCAGAACUUGCUAGAUGCCACAUUCCAAUAAAUUCAAAUUGUGAUAUACGUGGUUACCACCUGGAGGAUACCCUUCAUGUGUUAAAGGGACUAUUAGAUGGCAACUAGAAUUUGGAGAUCUUUAUUACCCAAUGAGAACACGAUCGGUUUCUUUUCUCUUAAUCUUCAAGAUUGGAUUCUCUGCAACCUUAGAAAUACUUGGAAUUUUAAUGUUAAUAAUGACUGGCCAUGUACUUUUGGUGUGAUGAUUUGGCAAUUAUGGAAUUGGAGAAAUAAGGUGAUUUUCUCUAAUUCUACAAGUUGCUGUCGAAGUAUUAUCCAUGAUGUCUCUAUUCGCGUUGCGGAAAUUCAGCGUGUUUACUUGGCAAUCAAACCAGCUGAUGUUGCUCAAAUUGAAAAGCGGAUUAGCUGGAGUCCCCCUGCAUCACCUGCGUUCAAACUCAAUAUGGAUGGAUCUUGCAAGAGCUCUGAAAUGGCGGGAGCUUGGACUUGAUCAGAGACGCUCAGGGUCGGUGGUGUGGUGGUUUCCGUAUGAAUAUAGGGAUGUGUUCUAUCACUCUUGCUGAACUUUGGGGCUUAUAUCAAGGCUUACUUCUCGCUUGGAGAAAUGGGAUUAGAAAUCUAGAAGUGGAAGUUGAUAGCUUAUGUGUAACCCAGCUUGUCUGGAAUAAAAGGGUCGCUCCUAAUGAUUCUAUUCCAAUUCUGCAUGCCAUUAAAGAAAUACUGACUCGUGAUUGGAAUGUUAGUCUCCACUGUGUAUAGAGAGGCGAAUCACUCUACUGACUUCCUUGCAAAUUUGGCUACCUCUCUCCCCUUAGGUCUUUAUGUGCAGGAUUCACCCCCUGUUGGUUUAAAUUACUGGUUGCUUCAUGACAUGUACGGGUUCUCUUACACUCGCUCUGUUCUUCCUUAGCCCUUGCUAAGUGCUCCUCCUGUACUAAAAAGAAAUAAUUACUAUAUAUAAUGAGGUUAACUUGUUUAUAUAACAUAAGACAACAAUUUGUUUCUCUUCAAGUAGACAGUUUUUAAUAUGAGAGAAACGGUGGGUCUAUUGAGAGAUUGUGUGUUAUUGGGGUUUUGGUAUGAGGAAAAUAUCAGAAUGAUUGCAAUAAUUUUUCACAUAGUAGAUUUUUCUCUUGUCAUCCUUGGCGGCCAAGUUUUUUCUCCAACAUAAAAUUUUUCACGUAAAUUCUUGUGUUGUGUGAUUAGUUUUAUUUUUGAUCUAUUUUUUAUUUAUUAUUUGUUUGAUAUUUUUUCUUAUAAGAUCUUGAGUGGGAUUAAAAUUUCAUAAUAAGUGAUAUAAAAAAAAAGUUGUUCUACAAAGUAAUAAUGUCUGCAUAUAAAAUUUCCUAAUAGAUUAUAUCUACUCCUGACUUGUGUUUAGUAAUAGGACAGAAUUAGAUUACAUUAAUAUUGUCUUAGGUUUGGGGAUACAUAGGACUGGACAAGAUUUAUAUAAUAUUUAAAAUUUACUAAAAUAAAAGUAAAUAAAAAUUUAAUAAAUACUUAGAUAUUAUUGUAAAUUUCAUUACAAAGUUUAUAAAUAUUAUUAGAGUGUAUAUUUUCUUAUUUUCUUCCUUUAAUUUAACAAAUUUGGAUAUCUCUUAUAGAAAAAUUACUAAUUAAUUUUUGUCUUCAUUCAAGAUUGCCCCAUAGAUCGAACCAGCGUCAGUUAACAGACGCUAUGGAAGCAGCUUUAUUUGGAGGAUAUGCUGUACUUAUGAUUUAGCUCACGUCAUUGACAAAGAAUUUAGUGGUCCAAGUUUUUGCAGUAGAGUAACUAAAUAGCAAUGAUGACCCAGUCAAGUCAAUGUAUAAAUAUUGAAAUGACUAUUAAGGCCUGAGAACCGACCUCAAUUACCUCAAAGUUUUCAAAAAGAAAUUGGACCACCAAAAAAUUUCCCACUAAUAACUACCGAUUGCAACUUGUAGAUCGCAAUUUAUAGACAGAUUUAUAUUAAAAAAAAAAAGUGUUCCAAGUCCUCUCUGAGGUUCUCACUCGGUUCUACAUGUAACGUAAGAUAGAAAGAUUCCAAUCAAAAUUUUGAUUCUUGUUCAAACGUAACUACGAUAUCCACGAAGUCUGUGUUGCCACAAGAACCACUUUAAUAUAUAUCUACUGAUGCAUCGAUGCAUCUAAUUGCUGUCGUGGUCAAAUGAAAGAUCGGGUAAUAUUGCCUACAAGAUUUUAUUAUCAUAAUCUUCUUCAUAUGUUCAUAGCGAUCUUGAAGUUUCAGGUGCAAGUCAUUGUUUUUCAAGGUCCCAUCACUUUACAACAUUAUUUAACUACUUCGAAAGGGAAUUUGAGCCUAUGCAGGCGGAACAAGCCAAAUUCGGCUACAGUCACUGACCUGAAGGUCAAUAUAACUUCCAAUCUAAAUAAGCAUGGACCUCACUCCAAGAUAGAUCAUUAAUUAGGGUGUUUAUAUGUAUUUAACUUGUGAGCGAGAUCUAAAUCUAAAUAGUAGAAACCAAUGGAUGCACUUUCGCUCUUGUUAAUCUGUUGCAAGUUACUGCUUAUCUUUUCUGAAUUCUCAUUUGCAUCAGAUGUCCUUACUUCGUCUCAGUCUCUUAGUGAUGGAAACACCUUAAUAUCAAAAGGUGGAAGCUUUGAGCUUGGUUUCUUCAGUCCCGGUAGUUCCAAGAAUCGUUAUGUGGGAAUUUUGUACAAAAGUAUACCAGUUAAAACAGUUGUUUGGGUUGCAAACCGCCUCAAACCCAUCAAGGACUCUUCUG
rnacentral:lncRNA from 1 species